rnacentral:rRNA from 1 species
GACGUAGGGCGCGAGCGUUGUCCGGAUUUAUUGGGCGUAAAGAGCUCGUAGGCGGCUCGUUGCGUCGGCUGUGAAAACCCGCAGCUCAACUGUGGGCUUGCAGCUGAUACGGGCGGGCUGGGAUUCGGUAGGGGAGACUGGAAUUCCUGGUGUAGCGGUGAAAUGCGCAGAUAUCAGGAAGAACACCAAUGGCGAAAGCAGCUUUCUGGGACGGUACUGACGCUGAGACGCGAAAGCGUGGGGAGCGAACAGG